AGAGUUAAACAGUACGUGAAAUUGUUGAAAGGGAAACGAUUGAAGCCAGUCGUACCUGCGGACAAUCAGCCUUCCGUGUGUGAUUACGUGAUACUUGAGGAGCUAAACGCACUCCUGUUUGCUUAUUCGUGCUCGUGGGUGUACUUGUCCGUGUGGUAGGUUAACAUCAAUUUCGGGCAUCAUAAAAUGGUUGGAGGAAUGUGGCUUCGACCUCGGUUGAAGUGUUAUAGCCUUCGGCAGAUGUGGUGAUCGGGAUUGAGGAUUGCAACGGAUACCCUUUGGGGCUACCUGUCUGAUCUCUGAUGGUUACUCUGGUGCCGAAAGCUUGCUUACGGACAUCAAAGUUGACUGCCAAUAGGUUAGAAUGGGAUAAAUUCGUUAAGGAUGUUGACGUAAUGGCUUUAAACGACC
rnacentral:rRNA from 1 species